GCGAGGUAACGGCUCACCAAGACCACGAUGACUAGGGGAUCUGAGAGGAUGACCCCCCACACUGGUACUGAGACACGGACCAGACUCCUACGGGAGGCAGCAGUAAGGAAUAUUGGUCAAUGGAGGCAACUCUGAACCAGCCAUGCCGCGUGCAGGAAGACAGCCCUCUGGGUCGUAAACUGCUUUUAUUCGGGAAUAAACCUACUUACGUGUAAGUAGCUGAAUGUACCGAAGGAAUAAGGAUCGGCUAACUCCGUGCCAGCAGCCGCGGUAAUACGGAGGAUCCAAGCGUUAUCCGGAUUUAUUGGGUUUAAAGGGUGCGUAGGCGGCUUAUUAAGUCAGGGGUGAAAGACGGUGGCUCAACCAUCGCAGUGCCCUUGAUACUGAUGAGCUUGAAUACACUAGAGGUAGGCGGAAUGUGACAAGUAGCGGUGAAAUGCAUAGAUAUGUCACAGAAC
rnacentral:rRNA from 1 species